rnacentral:rRNA from 1 species
UACGUAGGGUGCAAGCGUUGUCCGGAAUUAUUGGGCGUAAAGAGCUCGUAGGCGGUUUGUCGCGUCGAAUGUGAAAACCCGGGGCUCAACCCCGGGCCUGCAUUCGAUACGGGCAGACUAGAGUUCGGUAGGGGAGUCUGGAAUUCCUGGUGUAGCGGUGAAAUGCGCAGAUAUCAGGAGGAACACCGGUGGCGAAGGCGGGACUCUGGGCCGAUACUGACGCUGAUGCGCGAAAGCCAGGGGAGCAAACGGG